rnacentral:rRNA from 1 species
GACGAACCGUCCAAACGUUGUUCGGAAUCACUGGGCUUAAAGGGCGCGUAGGCGGGCUCGAAAGUCAGGGGUGAAAUCCCACGGCUCAACCGUGGAAGUGCCUUUGAUACUUCGAAUCUAGAGGGAUGUAGGGGCGUGCGGAACUUCCGGUGGAGCGGUGAAAUGCGUAGAUAUCGGAAGGAACACCGGUGGCGAAAGCGGCGCGCUGGACAUCUACUGACGCUGAGGCGCGAAAGCCAGGGGAGCAAACGGG